rnacentral:rRNA from 1 species
GAUGAACGCUGGCGGCGUGCCUAAUACAUGCAAGUCGAGCGAACAGACGAGGAGCUUGCUCCUCUGACGUUAGCGGCGGACGGGUGAGUAACACGUGGAUAACCUACCUAUAAGACUGGGAUAACUUCGGGAAACCGGAGCUAAUACCGGAUAAUAUAUUGAACCGCAUGGUUCAAUAGUGAAAGACGGUUUUGCUGUCACUUAUAGAUGGAUCCGCGCCGCAUUAGCUAGUUGGUAAGGUAACGGCUUACCAAGGCAACGAUGCGUAGCCGACCUGAGAGGGUGAUCGGCCACACUGGAACUGAGACACGGUCCAGACUCCUACAGGAGGCAGCAGUAGGGAAUCUUCUGCAAUGGGCGAAAGCCUGACGGAGCAACGCCGCGUGAGUGAUGAAGGUCUUCGGAUCGUAAAACUCUGUUAUUAGGGAAGAACAAAUGUGUAAGUAACUAUGCACGUCUUGACGGUACCUAAUCAGAAAGCCACGGCUAACUACGUG